AGCUUUAUAGUCAAAAAUGAUAUUAGACUGCAAUUCUAAAGGAGUGAUAAAUCACUAAGGCUU
rnacentral:tRNA from 1 species